UUUGUGAGUGAUGAGUUGCACCCUUAGUCAGGUGGCUGGUAGCAGGGGCACAGGUGGGACACCAAUGUGCACAUGGGCUGUCUGGCUCACC
ensembl:snoRNA